UCACGGAGAGUUUGAUCAUGGCUCAGGACGAACGCUGGCGGCGUGCCUAAAACAUGCAAGUCGAACGAGGCCUUUGGCCUAGUGGCGAACGGCGGAGUAAUACAUAAGCAACCUGCCCCGAAGACCGGGAUAGCCCCUUGAAAGAGGGAUUAAUACCGGAUGUUGUCCGAGGAGGGCAUCCUUUUUGGACUAAAACGCGCAAGCGGCUUUGGGAGGGGCUUGUGGCCUAUCACCUUGUUGGUGGGGUAACGGCUCACCAAGGGUUCGACGGGUAGCUGGUCUGAGAGGACGAUCAGCCCGACUGGGACUGAGACACGGCCCAGACUCCUACGGGAGGCAGCAGUUAGGAAUCUUGCGCAAUGGAGGAAACUCUGACGCAGCGACGCCGCGUGCAGGACGAAGUAUUUCGGUAUGUAAACUGCUUUUGCCAGGAAAGAAAUCUGACGGUACCUGGCGAAUAAGCCCCGGCUAACUACGUGCCAGCAGCCGCGGUAAGACGUAGGGGGCGAGCGUUGUCCGGAUUUACUGGGCGUAAAGAGCG
rnacentral:rRNA from 1 species